UACAGAGGGUGCGAGCGUUGUCCGGAAUCACUGGGCGUAAAGGGCGCGUAGGUGGCGGGCCAAGUCCAUGGUGAAAGCUCGAUGCUCAACAUCGAGUCGGCCACGGAUACUGGUUCGCUGGAGCACUGUAGAGGCAGGCGGAAUUCCGGGUGUAGCGGUGGAAUGCGUAGAGAUCCGGAAGAACACCGGUGGCGAAGGACGG
rnacentral:rRNA from 1 species